CCUACGGGUGGCAGCAGUGGGGAAUAUUGCACAAUGGGGGAAACCCUGAUGCAGCGACGCCGCGUGAGUGAAGAAGGAAUUCGGGAUGUAAAGCUCUAUCAGCAGGGAAGAAAAUGACGGUACCUGAGGAAGAAGCCACGGCUAACUACGUGCCAGCAGCCGCGGUAAUACGUAGGGGGCAAGCGUUAUCCGGAUUUACUGGGUGUCAAGGGAGCGUAGACGGCAGUGCAAGUCUGGAGUGACAGGCGGGGGCUCAACCCCCGGACUGCUCUGGAAACUGUACGGCUGGAGUGCAGGAGAGGUAAGUGGAAUUCCUAGUGUAGCGGUGAACUGCUUAGAUAUUAGGAGGAACACCAGUGGCGAAGGCGGCUUACUGGACUGUAACUGACGUUGAGGCUCGAAAGCGUGGGGAGCAAACAGGAUUAGAUACCCCUGUAGUC
rnacentral:rRNA from 1 species